GACGAACGCUGGCGACGUGCUUAACACAUGCAAGUCGAACGGAAAGGCCCUGCUUUUGUGGGGUGCUCGAGUGGCGAACGGGUGAGUAACACGUGAGUAACCUGCCCUUGACUUUGGGAUAACUUCAGGAAACUGGGGCUAAUACCGGAUAGGAGCUCCUGCUGCAUGGUGGGGGUUGGAAAGUUUCGGCGGUUGGGGAUGGACUCGCGGCUUAUCAGCUUGUUGGUGGGGUAGUGGCUUACCAAGGCUUUGACGGGUAGCCGGCCUGAGAGGGUGACCGGCCACAUUGGGACUGAGAUACGGCCCAGACUCCUACGGGAGGCAGCAGUGGGGAAUAUUGCACAAUGGGCUGAAGCCUAAUGCAGCAACGCCGCGUGCGGGAUGACGGCCUUCGGGUUGUAAUCCGCUUUCGCCUGUGACGAAGCGUGAGUGACGGUAAUGGGUAAAGAAGCACCGGCUAACUACGUG
rnacentral:rRNA from 1 species